UACGGGGGGGGCAAGCGUUGUUCGGAAUUACUGGGCGUAAAGGGCUCGUAGGUGGCCAACUAAGUCAGACGUGAAAUCCCUCGGCUUAACCGGGGAACUGCGUCUGAUACUGGAUGGCUUGAGUUUGGGAGAGGGACGCGGAAUUCCAGGUGUAGCGGUGAAAUGCGUAGAUAUCGAGAGGAACACCUGCGGCGAAGGCGGGUUGCUGGGCUGACACUGACGCUGAUGCGCGAAAGCUAGGGGAGCGAACGGG
rnacentral:rRNA from 1 species